CUCCUCUCCUCUCCUCCGCUCCCCUCCCCUCUCCUCCCCUCCCCCCCCCCCUCUCCUCUUCUCCCUCCCCUCCCCUCUCUUCUCCUCUCCUCCCCUCCCCUCUCCACAUGCCAGCCGGCAGAAGAGCCCUGUUCCAAUCCAUCCUGGAAUGCUGCUCUGAAGGAUAAUUGCAUCCAUGGCUGCUGUGUUUUUGGUUUGCGUGUGAGGUCUCCCAAAAAACAAAAGGCUGAAAUCUGUGGUAAUCAGGAGGAGUGGGAGAGACGGCGCUAACAGACAAACAAAUGGUUAGCGUUUGUACAGAGAAAAAAUCUCCACCACAUGAGAGAGGGAAUGUUUGUCCCGGUGAAAGAGUGGAAAGGGGGGGGGGGGGGGGUAGAGCGAAAGCAAGAAAGAAAUACAAAGUUGAUGAAGCUGAUCUGAGUCUCGAUGAUGGCUCACAAAUCAGGAGAAUGCAGGAGAAAACAUAGAACUCACAGGAGAACAUGUGGAGCCCACAGAACAUGUGGAACUCACUUGAGAACAUGUGGAACAAACAGAAGAACAUGUGGAACCUACAGAAUGUGUGGAACCCACUGGAAAACACUUGGAACAAACAGGAGAACAUGAGGAACCUACAGGAGGACGUGUGGAACCCUCAAGAGAACAUAUGGAACCCACACUGAAAAGCCCAGGGCAUGUGAUUUCCUUUACAGAAGCAACAUGAAGUUGACGUGUCAAUAAUCACAUGACUCACAUAUAAAUCGACACACUCCGAGCUCCUCCACCACAACACGAUAUCGUUCCUUCUGAAGAGCAGAAGGAAAGAAAGUAAGAAAGAAAAAAGUAAGAAAGGAAGGAAGGAACAGAAGGAAGAAGGAAAGAAAGAAAGAAAGAAGGAAGGAAAGAAAAAAAGAACAGAAGAGCCGUACAUGUUCCUCUGUACAGAGCGAGGGAUUGGCAGCGUCUCUGCUGCUUGUCUUUUCUCCAAACGUGUUUAGUGGCUGAGAAAGUGAAGCGAUCUCUCCUCCAUGUCAGAGUGAAUAAGCUCCAGACUCAUCACCCAGACGUGCUCUCGCUCUUCUGAGUUCUGCGGUGACACUGAGGAACUUUAAAUGCAGGACUGAGUGAGUCUGGGGGCCAACCGCCCCACCGAACCAUGAAACAGAUACACCAACAUCUCAUACAAAUCAUCCUUCUGAGAUUUUAUAUAACAGCCACAGAGCCGUGAUGAAUAUAAACAUUUCAAUAAAACAGCUAGAAUUGAUCCACUCUGAUGUUCCUCUGGUGGUUCUGAGGAACGUAAACUGCUGCGGCUUCUGAAAGAUGAUAUUUUAGAUUUACACACGGGUUUAGAAACUGAUACUAACAUUUUAUUAUCACAUAAAAGCUCAUGAAAACCGAAAUGAGACAAAUAUUAUGAUUUUAUCCUCAACACAGUGAAUAAUAAAACACUGUUUAACACUGCUGCAGGAGGGACAGUCCUCUACUGCCCUCUGCUGGAGGAAAGUGAGACUACAUGUGUCUUACGAGAGAGAGAG
ensembl:lncRNA